AAGACACUAGUAAAAGUAUAUUACACCGCCUUGUCGAGGCAGCGUUGUGGGUCAGACUCCCGCGUGUUUUGCCA
rnacentral:tRNA from 1 species